UACGUAGGGCGCAAGCGUUGUCCGGAAUUAUUGGGCGUAAAGAGCUCGUAGGCGGUUUGUCGCGUCUGCUGUGAAAUCCCGAGGCUCAACCUCGGGCUUGCAGUGGGUACGGGCAGACUAGAGUGCGGUAGGGGAGACUGGAAUUCCUGGUGUAGCGGUGGAAUGCGCAGAUAUCAGGAGGAACACCGAUGGCGGAAGGCAGGUCUCUGGGCCGCAACUGACGCUGGAGGAGCGGAAAGCAUGGGGAGCGAACAGG
rnacentral:rRNA from 1 species